rnacentral:rRNA from 1 species
GAUGAACGCUGGCGGCAGGCUUAAUACAUGCAAGUCGAACGGUAACAUGUCGGAGCAAUCUGAUGAUGACGAGUGGCGCACGGGUGCGUAACGCGUAUGCAACCUACCCAUAACCGGAACAUAACGUUGAGAAAUCGGCGCUAAUAUUCCAUGUGUAUAUUUUGUGGCAUCAUAGAAUAUAUAAAGAUUAAUUGGUUAUGGAUGGGCAUGCGUAUCAUUAGCUAGUUGGUGGGGUAACGGCCUACCAAGGCUGCGAUGAUUAGGGGUUCUGAGAGGAUAACCCCCCACACUGGAACUGAGACACGGUCCAGACUCCUACGGGAGGCAGCAGUAGGGAAUAUUGGGCAAUGGAGGCAACUCUGACCCAGCCAUGCCGCGUGAAGGAAGACGGUCCUAUGGAUUGUAAACUUCUUUUAUCAUAGAGUAACCGCAGGGCGUGUCCCUGCCUGCAAGUUAUGAUGAAUAGC